UACCAGCACCCCGAGUGGUCGGGACGUUUAUUGGGCCUAAAGCAUCCGUAGCCGGUCCUGCAAGUCUUCCGUUAAAUCCAGCUGCUCAACAGAUGGGCUGCGGGGGAUACUACAGGGCUAGGAGGCGGGAGAGGCAAGCGGUACUUUAUGGGUAGGGGUAAAAUCCGUUGAUCCAUAGAAGACCACCAGUGGCGAAGGCGGCUUGCCAGAACGCGCUCGACGGUGAGGGAUGAAAGCUGGGGGAGCAAACAGG
rnacentral:rRNA from 1 species